rnacentral:rRNA from 1 species
UACGAAGGGUGCAAGCGUUAAUCGGAAUUACUGGGCGUAAAGCGUGCGUAGGCGGUUUGUUAAGUCUGCUGUGAAAUCCCCGGGCUCAACCUGGGAAUGGCAGUGGAUACUGGCAGCUAGAGUGUGUCAGAGGAUGGUGGAAUUCCCGGUGUAGCGGUGAAAUGCGUAGAGAGUCGGGAGGAACAUCAGUGGCGAAGGCG